UACGUAGGGUGCAAGCGUUGUCCGGAAUUAUUGGGCGUAAAGAGCUCGUAGGCGGUUUGUCGCGUCUGCUGUGAAAUCUGGUGGCUCAACCAUCAGCUUGCAGUGGGUACGGGCAGGCUAGAGUGCGGUAGGGGAGAUUGGAAUUCCUGGUGUAGCGGUGGAAUGCGCAGAUAUCAGGAGGAACACCGAUGGCGAAGGCAGAUCUCUGGGCCGCUACUGACGCUGAGGAGCGAAAGCAUGGGGAG
rnacentral:rRNA from 1 species